UGGCGGCACGCCUAACACAUGCAAGUCGAACGGAGAUUGAGAGCUUGCUCUUAAAUCUUAGUGGCGGACGGGUGAGUAACACGUGAGCAACCUGCCUCUGAGAGAGGGAUAGCUUCUGGAAACGGAUGGUAAUACCUCAUAACAUUACAUGACCGCAUGAUCGUGUAAUCAAAGAUUUAUCACUCAGAGAUGGGCUCGCGUCUGAUUAGCUAGUUGGUGAGGUAACGGCCCACCAAGGCGACGAUCAGUAGCCGGACUGAGAGGUUGAACGGCCACAUUGGGACUGAGACACGGCCCAGACUCCUACGGGAGGCAGCAGUGAGGGAUAUUGCACAAUGGAGGAAACUCUUGAUGCAGCGAUGCCGCGUGGAGGAAGAAGGUUUUCGGAUUGUAAACUCCUGUUUCGAGGGACGAUAAUGACGGUACCUCGGGAGGAAGCUCCGGCUAACUACGUGCCAGCAGCCGC
rnacentral:rRNA from 1 species